GUGCCAGCCGCCGCGGUAAUACCGGCAGCCCAAGUGAUGGCCGAUCUUAUUGGGCCUAAAGCGUCCGUAGCUGGCCACGCAAGUCCAUCGGGAAAUCCACCUGCCCAACAGGUGGGCGCCCGGUAGAAACUGCGUGGCUUGGGACCGGAAGGCGCGGCGGGUACGUCCGGGGUAGGAGUGAAAUCCCAUAAUCCCGCACGGACCACCGAUGGCGAAAGCACUUCGAGAAAACGGAUCCGACAGUGAGGGACGAAAGCCAGGGUCUCCAACCGGAUUAGAAACCCCGGUAGUCC
rnacentral:rRNA from 1 species